rnacentral:rRNA from 1 species
UCGAGAGGCUUCGGCAAUGGGGGAAACCCUGACCGAGCGACGCCGCGUGGAGGAUGAAGGCCCCUGGGUUGUAAACUCCUUUUGCUGGGGAAGAAAUGCGAUCAGGUGAACAAUCUGGUCGUUUGACGGUACCCGGCGAAUAAGCUCCGGCUAACUCCGUGCCAGCAGCCGCGGUAACACGGGGGGAGCAAGCGUUGUUCGGAAUCACUGGGCGUAAAGGGCGUGUAGGCGGUCAAGUAAGUGGGGUGUGAAAUCCCUCGGCUCACCCGAGGACCUGCAUCCCAAACUGCUUGGCUUGAGUAUGGGAGAGGAUGAGGGAAUUCCUGGUGUAGCGGUGAAAUGCGUAGAUAUCAGGAGGAACACCGGUGGCGAAAGCGCUCAUCUGGCCCAAUACUGACGCUGAGGCGCGAAAGCUAGGGGAGCAAACGGG